ACGAAGGGGGCUAGCGUUGUUCGGAAUAACUGGGCGUAAAGCGCGCGUAGGCGGGCUGUUAAGUCAGGGGUGAAAUCCCGGGGCUCAACCCCGGAACUGCCUUUGAUACUGGCAGCCUAGAGUUCGAGAGAGGUGAGUGGAAUUCCGAGUGUAGAGGUGAAAUGCGUAGAGAUCCGGAGGAACCCCGGUGGCGAAGGCGACUUGCUGGGCCUGAACUGACGCUCAGACGCGAAAGCAUGGGGAGCGAACGG
rnacentral:rRNA from 1 species